rnacentral:lncRNA from 1 species
CACUGCUGAUGGCAGAGUGUCACCUGCAGAGGAAGAAGACAAAUCCAAGGAUCAGACCAAGAAUCAGGAUGAAAAGCCAUUCACUCAAGAGACAUUAUGCAAUAGGGGGGUCUGCUACAAUGAUCCCAGAUCAGCGGAAGCGGAUGCAGCUGAUGCGUCCGGCGGCCUCCCGGCCUUCUUCAGUUUGGCUGCCCUUGCUGAGGUUGCAGCCAUGGAGAAUGUGCACAGAGCCCAGCGUGCUGUGAGCAUCCCCACUGAAGGUCAAGUGAAGGACAUGGCCCCUGUGCUGAUUUCCUGUGCAGACCAGUG